CUUCGUGGUGUAAUGGUUAGCACACUGAGCCGGUAUUUCAGAGGUCCGUGGUUCGAUUCCCGGCGAAG
rnacentral:tRNA from 1 species